UACGUAGGGGGCGAGCGUUGUCCGGAUUUAUUGGGCGUAAAGAGCUCGUAGGCGGUUUGGUAAGUCGGGUGUGAAAUCUCCACGCUCAACGUGGAGGGGCCACUCGAUACUGCCAUGACUCGAGUCCGGUAGAGGAGUGUGGAAUUCCCGGUGUAGCGGUGAAAUGCGCAGAUAUCGGGAGGAACACCCGUAGCGAAGGCGGCUCUCUGGGCCGGAACUGACGCUGAGGAGCGAAAGCGUGGGGAGCAAACAGG
rnacentral:rRNA from 1 species